CCUGCUGCCCAUCGUUUGCCUGGCCUCGCUCGGCGUCCUGCUCUCCGGCGUCUUCUUCGCCUUCAACGUCUACUACAAGCACAUGAAGCAGGUGAAGCUGUCCAGCCCGAAGCUGAACAGCAUCACCGUGGUGGGCUGUAUGCUGGUGUACGUGGCCGUGGUGCUGCUGGGCCUGGACUACGCCACCCUGUCCAGCACCGGACACUUCUCUAUCGUCUGCACGGCCCGGGUGUACCUUCUUAGCAUCGGCUUUUCCCUGGCGUUCGGCGCCAUGUUCGCCAAGACGUUCCGCGUG